rnacentral:lncRNA from 1 species
GAAAAUUAAAUGUAUUGUGUGUAUAUGUUAAUUGUUUGUGUUCUUGGUGAAGCUAGAGGAGUGGUGGAGAUGGUAUAUUUUUUGAGAAGUACUGUGAUUUUUUUCUUCUAAAAGUUUGACAGUGUUUUUGUUUAUAUGAGAAUGUGUUUUGCUAUUGAGCGUGGAUAAAUUAUUUUUUAAUUACAAUUUUAAUGUGUUUUAUAUUUUUGAUGAUUCACACCUUUUUAAUAUUAU